rnacentral:rRNA from 1 species
CUUACCAUGCAAGUCGAGGGGUAACAUAGAGAGCUUGCUUUCUGAUGACGACCGGCGAACGGGUGCGUAACGCGUAUAGAACCUACCUACAACAAAGGGAUAGCCCAGAGAAAUUUGGAUUAAUACCUUAUAGUAUUUUCGAUCCGCAUGGAUUGAUGAUUAAAGAUUUAUUGGUUGUAGAUGGCUAUGCGUCUUAUUAGCUAGUUGGUGAGGUAAAGGCUCACCAAGGCAACGAUAAGUAGGGGUCCUGAGAGGGAGAUCCCCCACACUGGUACUGAGACACGGACCAGACUCCUACGGGAGGCAGCAGUGAGGAAUAUUGGACAAUGGAGGCAACUCUGAUCCAGCCAUGCCGCGUGUAGGAUGACUGCCCUAUGGGUUGUAAACUACUUUUGUAUAGGAAGAAACAGCUUUACGUGUAGAGCUUUGACGGUACUAUAAGAAUAAGGAUCGGCUAGCUCCGUGCCAGCAGCCGCGGUAAUACGGAGGAUCCAAGCGUUAUCCGGAAUCAUUGGGUUUAAAGGGUCCGUAGGCGGUUUGACAAGUCAGCGGUGAAAGUUUGCGGCUCAACCGUAAAAUUGCCAUUGAUACUGUUAGACUUGAAUCAUUUUGAAGUGGUUAGAAUAUGUAGUGUAGCGGUGAAAUGCAUAGAUAUUACAUAGAAUACCGAUUGCGAAGGCAGAUCACUAAAAAUGUAUUGACGCUGAUGGACGAAAGCGUGGGUAGCGAACGGGAUUAGAUACCCCGGUAGUCCACGCCGUAAACGAUGGUCACUAGUUGUUUGGACUUCGGUUUGAGUGACUAAGCGAAAGUGAUAAGUGACCCACCUGGGGAGUACG